UGUGUGUUCGUCUUUCUCUCUCUCUCUCUUCCCUGCCCCAUAUUGGUUGCUGACUUUGUUGUGAGUCUGCUAGCUACAAUCUGCCUGCAUCUGCAAACAUGUUGGGACGUUAUCUAUCGCUAUCACCGGCAAAUGAGAAUGCAGUGUUCCAGCUACCGUUACGUAUCAGUAUUUCAACUUUAUUCCAGGUACAUCCGAUGGAAUUCGCGAAACUUUAUUCCAGACACUAAUGACUUGACCUCGACAGUCUUCUGCGGUAAUGACUUCCACAGAUUCACUAACUUCUGGCUGAAGAAAUUCCUCCUCGUCUUGGCUCUAAAGGGAUGUCAAAGGCUAUCUUAGUUGAAGUUACCAAGGGAGUUCAAUAUCUGAUUGAAGAACUAUUUUUUCAAGUGUCCAGUGGGUGUUCAAAGAACAGUGCCAAAAAGACUGCAGAUGCUGAACCAAGUGCAUGUUUCAUGGCUACGGUUGAUACCCUUGCUUCAUAACAAAACAUCACAGGGUUUGGAGCAAAGCUGACUUGAAGUCUUAACACUAUUGGCCAGGCUUUUCCUUAGCAUGUCUGAACAUUGGUAGACCCUACUGAAAACAACAAAUGCUGGAGAUCACAGUGGGUCAGACAGCAACUGUGGAGAGAGAGCAAGCUAAUGCUUUGAGUCUAGAUGAUUCUUCAUCAGACUCUACCUAGAGACUCCAUUGCAACGGCCACAGUCUGGCCAGAUCAUUGCAGAAACCCACAAGUCGAGAGUGUGGUGCUGGAAAAGCACAGCAGGUUAGGCAACAUCCAAGGAGCAGGAGAAUCUAUGUUUUGGGCAUACAUCCUUCAUCAGAGACCCACAAGUGCAUGCAAGAGCCUUGGAAAACUGUGUAAAAUCAUUAUUUCAUGUUGUACAUGCUUUUUCUAUUUUAGCAUUCUGCACCAAGUGCAGAAUUUUAAGAUAAAAAGGUAUUAGAUCUAGUUAAUAUAAAACAACAUAUAUGGUUUAAAAAUUCAUCUUAACAGAAAAAUCAAAACCAGUGAAUGAAUUAAUAAAACUGUUAAAAGUUGGCUAUUGUGUAUUUUUAAUUUAUGCAUGUAACACUAUCAUUCAUGUUCCUAAAUAAAUAGCUUAAAAAUGUGUUGCUGGAAAUGCACAGCAGGUCAGGCAGCAUCAAAGGAACAGGAGAAUCGACGUUUCGGGCAUAACCUUCCUGAAGGGCUUAUGCCUGAAACAUCGAUUCUCCUGUUCCUUUUAUGUUGCCUGACCUGCUUCGCUUUUCCAGCAACACAUUUUUAAGCUUUGAUCUCUAGCCCUCACUUUCUCCUUCCUAAAUAAAUACACAACUAUGGAAACUUGGAAAUCUGAAACAGAAUGUGGAGAAACAAACUGGUCCAACAGCAUCUGCGGAGAGAAAAAUAAUUGAUGUUUGUGUUCUAACACUAGGUCAGUGGACUUGACACUGAGUUCCUGUCAGCAGAUCUGCUGUGUUCCUUUGCAAAUCA